GGGUUCGUUAAUGGUUUCAGGCCCUGCCGGAAUCGACCAGAAGCAACUUGUUGGUUGUUUCCCGUGGCGAGCUUCUCCAACAGGGAAACUUAAAAGUGACUAAAAGGAAGUUUUAGGGAAGUGAUGUGACGUCUGAGUCAUAAAGAGUUGUUUGUGUGGUGGAGAGAGAAGCGGUGGAUUAUUAUUCUGGAUCAUUGACUGAGUGAACAAAGCUCACUUUGUCUCGUUUCAUUCAAGUCUUCAGUUGAGUCAAACGAAGCAGACGAGGACGUUUAUUAUUUAUCGCGUUUUUUUGGUUCAGGGGGUAAAAACCAAACCAGCAAACAACCAGCAAAUAGAAACAAUGUUUGUGUUGCUUGCAAAGCUGCAGCCACAGACUUUCAUGAAUGUCGGUUUUAUGUCUGUAUUUUGAAGAAAGGGUUUAAUUAUCUGAAAUGCAAAACAAAAAAGCACAAAAACUGAAUUAUGUUAACAUGAACAAUGCAAUACACCUGUUUAAUAUGUCCUGUUUAAUUGUUGACAAAAAGGAUAUUUCCAAGCUGCUAUCAGUGAAGUUCACAACUGACUUUUAGCAUUUUGGGACCAUUUGUUUAAAGUCAAACAUAGUUGUCCCCUUUUAUAUAUUUGUCUUCGAUUCAUUCAUCAUAUCGGCAUAAUGUGCUAAUGUUUCACUCCUAAUGGUACAAAUGUUGUGAUGUUCCAGACCUGCAUUGUUCCUGCGAAUGUAUUAUUAUUAUAAUAACUCUUGCUCACUCGCUGUAUGUGGGUUAGUAAUGCUUCAUGUAUGACGUGGGGUUGGAACUGUGUGUGCGUGUGUGACAGAGAGAGAGAGAGAUGCAUGCUGGGUCGCCAGUGGAGCUUUGGGCCAGUUUGUUGUUGUGUUUUGAUUGAUCUUCAAAUCUCUGCAAGCUGUUGGGACCUCUGCAUCCUCUCCCUCUGCUUGCUGACUUUCAUUGUGAAUGAGCCCACUGCUCACAGCAUGUGGCCUUCACACGUGUGUGUGUCCUGCGUGUGAAGGAUGUGCACCACGUGUGUGUGUGUUUUGGCAUGUUUGAGUGAGGAGUGACAUUAAACCUCGUCUGAACAGGACUGUGUGUGUGUGUGUGUGUGUGUGUGUAGAUAGAUGGUGUUUGGUCUCAAUGUGUCGGUGGUUACGACCGGAAGCUGCAGCUGAACACGAAUCCUCACUUCUCAUCGAUGUCAGUGAUCAUCAGCCGGUUUCCACACUACGUUUGAACGUGUGUGUAAAGCAGGUGAUCACACACUCCUCCGGUGAUACUUAACAAAUAGUUUAUCUUCAUAUUGUCUGGUCAAUUAUCACUCACCAAUACGUAGAGUCCUUUCAAAAUAAAACGCUGUCUUCAAAGGAGAAUGUGACCAAACCACUUAAAUAAAUGUAACUAGUGUUUGAUUUAAAAGUUAACUUUGGAACUGGGCGCGACUGAAGUACGCCACUGCUAGAGGUGGUGUAGAAGCUAGUGGUAGGAGGUGGUGUAGAAGCUAGUGGUAGGAGGUGGUGUAGAAGCUAGUGGUAGGUAGCAGGUGGUGUAGAAGCUAGUGGUAGGUAGGAGGUGGUGUAGAAGCUAGUGGUAGGUAGCAGGUGGUGUAGAAGCUAUUGGUUAAAUUAGGCCGAGCUUUAGGAAGUGUGUAUGAAUCCUCACGUGGUGGAAGUCCAGCGAUCAAUAGAGAGGCGUAAGAUAAGAGCUUCAGGCGCUUCAGAGAACCAAACCACCUCAAAGUCUACGAGGCCUCGUGUCUAAUCGAGGGUCCCGCUCAGCUUCCCGACCGACUUACAUUAUAGUGCUGGAAUGUUUUCACUUGGAAGUGACCACGAAACGCAGCAGUGAGGAUUGGUCCGUUUUGGAGGACGAAUAGUAUCUUAAGUGGGUGCAGAUUGUAUCAGCGGGCAACGGCCUCAGGAUCUGAGUGCCUCAGACCUCCAGGGGGAAUGGAACAGAUGAUCUAAGUCCUGCCUGUUUUUAUCGGGUCGGUCACACCUCUUCAGCUCCUCUGUUGGGAACCAGUUACUGUUCAACUGUGAUCUUCUCCCCUGCAAGUAGCGGCUCCCUCUGCGAGCGUGACCGGAUCAAAGGGGCCGUGAUCCAAUAGACUGAAGAACCUGAGUCUCUGCCUUGCUUUAGUUUGUGCAGCUGUCCGUGGUGCUCGUCUUCGUACGGCAUCUCCGUUUGUGUUGAGGCCUUCGUUUGAACUCGUUCUAGAGGAUCAGCCUUUUACUGUCAGCAUUAAACCUUUAACGCGCCAUCAUGCGCUUCACAUCCGGCCUGGUCAUAAUUUGGUAGUAUUGCAAGAAAUGUAUUUUCAGUUUGCUUUGCUCUGGUCCACUGCUUUCCUCUCCUGCAGUUUGAAUGUUAAAAAUCAUCAUUCCUCUCCACAGUAGGUGUACUGUACUGUACUUCAGGAGCGUGAAGGAAGUCUGCUGAAGGAAAUGAGAGUGGGAGCAGAUGAAUGACGGUCGAAUGUCUUGUUUCCAUGCGAUAAACUCCAUCUCGCUAUCUGGAGGACCAGAGAUCACUGACCACAUCUUUUAGUCCGCUAUUCUCCUGAGAGGCC
ensembl:lncRNA